GGGGUUGUGGCUCAGUGGCAGAGCGAGCACUCGCUUGGCACAUGUGGGGCCCUGGGAUCGAUCCUCAGCACCACA
rnacentral:tRNA from 1 species